GACGUAGGGCGCGAGCGUUGUCCGGAUUUAUUGGGCGUAAAGAGCUCGUAGGCGGCUUGUCGCGUCGACUGUGAAAACCCGAGGCUCAACUUCGGGCUUGCAGUCGAUACGGGCAGGCUAGAGUUCGGUAGGGGAGACUGGAAUUCCUGGUGUAGCGGUGAAAUGCGCAGAUAUCAGGAGGAACACCGGUGGCGAAGGCGGAUCUCUGGGCCUUACCUGACGCUCAGGCACGAAAGCUAGGGGAGCGAACAGG
rnacentral:rRNA from 1 species